CUGAAUGAAUCAGUAAGUAUCCAAACUAGGAAGGUCGUGACCAACUGACUACUUCAGAGGAAACAAAUGGUCGUCUAUGUCCUUCACCCUGGGAAGGCAACAGUACCUAAGAUAGAAAUUCAGGACCAACUAGCCAAAAUAUACAAGACCACACUGGAUAUCAUCUUUGCAUUUGGAUUUAGAACUAAUUUUGGUGGUGGCAAGACAACUAGCUUUGGCAUGAUUUAUGAUUCCUUGGAUUAUGCAAAGAAAAGUGAACCCAAACAUAGACUUGCAAGACAUGGCCUGUAUGAGAAGAAAAAGACCUCAAGAAAGCAAUGAAAGGAAUGCAAGAACAGAAUGAAGGAAGUUAAGGGGACUGUAAAGGCCACGUUGGUGCUGGCAAAAGGUGGGCUGGAGAUUGGAUCACAGCCAAAGGAGUAA
rnacentral:lncRNA from 1 species